GGUUACCCAGGGUACUCAGAGGGAUUCCGUCCUUGGCAGUUUCCAAAAUCAGAGCAAGUGGUGGCAAUAAUCCCUGUUUAAGGAAAAGACUGGGCUUCAAGCCAACCCUUCUAGCCACCCUUGAUAUUGGGAAAACAGUGGGCUAGAUAGCCUGUUUAAAGGUGUUGAAUAAGCUUUAUUAACCUUUUGUCAGAGUCAGGCAAAGCUAGGAGGGGCAAGACACCCCUGUGCUGGAGGGCAGUCCCUCUGUCAGGCCAGGGAAAAGGAGACUCCAGAGAAAUGUCUUGUGACACUGAAAUGUCUUCUUGAAAAAGGAAUGACAUAGACAAACCUGUUACGGAAGUGAAGCACACUGACCAGUGUAAAAACUGCCAUACAAAAUGGGUUCCAGGAUAGAAGCUUUGUGGAGUACAAUCUGAAGGAAAUGUUGUCUAGAACAGCUAUGUGUGGCAACUUCCUUUCCAGAGUUAUGACUUAAAUAGACAAAGAAUUUCCCAAAACAAAUAGAUAAAAACCAUUUUAUGGGCUUAAUAUCACCACUGUAGUAGAGACAUGAGUCACAUUCAGAGGGACUUUUUACACUUUUAAUAUUGUAGAUUUUAAGCUAUAUUUAUUAAAGGAAGAAAAAAUAGACUAUCCUUACUCAUUUAACCUGUUCUUUCAUAAGACCUGUUUCAGAUAGUAAAAUUAAGUAUAGACACCUAAAAAAGUAAUUUUCUUUGAAUAGCCAAGGCUGCUUGGAAUAAGCCUUUUGUCCCAGUCUUGCUGCAUAUCAUGCAGAUAUCACGCUUAUGCCAUAAUAUCUGUAGCUAAUUUCCUUCCUUGUUAAGCCCAGAUCCUCUUCCUUGUUUCAGUCAAUUACACUGUGUCACCCAGGCUGAUUGAUCCCAGACAAAUGUGACAGGACCUUUGAGAGUCAGUCUGGCAUCGAGUGAUCUUCUGAUGACACGGAGUGGUCGCGUCAGUCCGUUAGCUGUGAUUUAGAGGAGUGAAUGCUCCAUUAGGCUCUCCCUAUUUCUUAAUCCUUUCUUCCAGAGACACUGGCAACUGCCCUGCAGUGGACAGGGAGAGAAAAAACACUCUCCAGGACAAUUGUGCUGGAAAAUAUGAGACCUCUCACUCAGCUUCAGUGAUUGCAAACAAGAGAUAGAGAGACGUCACUCCAUCAAAACUAGACUGCUCUUUACUUUGGUGUGGCCUUUCAAAAGGAAAUAAUCCUGUGAACAAAAUAUCUGGCCGAGAGACAAAAGGACUGCCAAGUCUGAUCCACAGGUGAUGAGUACUUGGCCAGCAACC